rnacentral:tRNA from 1 species
CAGGGAGACAACAAAAUGUUUAAUAUUAUUAUUUUGUCACCUUAGGUCGAUCGGUAUCUCACGUUCUUAAUUAAUUAAGAAUUUCAUUUCCUAAGUUUUUCUAGGUCACACCCAUUAUUUUUCCUGGGCCAUUAGCUCAGGUGGUUAGAGCGCACCCCUGAUAAGGGUGAGGUCCCUGGUUCAAGUCCAGGAUGGCCCAUAUCUCUAUGUUGGGGGUAUAGCUCAGUUGGUAGAGCGCCUGCUUUGCAAGCAGGAUGUCAGCGGUUCGAGUCCGCUUACCUCCACUGAUCACCACCUCUUCCAUAAUCGGUAGAAAGGAAAUUUUUUGAGUUGUGAUCAAAUUCUGAAAGAAUCUAGCUUCCUAAUGAAAUCAUUAAGAUGCUGGACUCAUUGAAUUAAUUUCAUUGUUUUCAGAGAACCUUGACAACUGCAUAGAUUAUUUUUAAAGACAAUAAGCAUCUUUAAUGAUGCAGAUUUAUUAUUUGUGCAAAUGCAUUAAUAACAAUUCUAUUAAGCUGAUGCUUCAAUAUUUGAAGUUAUU